AGAAUCAACGCUGACGGCGUGCCUCAGACAUGCAAGUCGAACGCGAAAGUCCCCUUCGGGAGACGAGUAGAGUGGCGCACGGGUGAGUAACACGUAGGUAAUCUACCUUUGGAUGGGGAAUAACAAUCGGAAACGGUUGCUAAUACCGCAUAAUGCAGCGGCACCUAAUGGUGACAGUUGUUAAAGCGGGGGAUCGAAAGACCUCGCGUCUGAAGAGGAGCCUGCGGCGGAUUAGCUAGUUGGUAAGUAACGGCUUACCAAGGCGACGAUCCGUA
rnacentral:rRNA from 1 species